rnacentral:rRNA from 1 species
UACGGAGGGUGCAAGCGUUACCCGGAAUCACUGGGCGUAAAGGGCGUGUAGGCGGGAUGUUAAGUCUGACUUUAAAGACCAUGGCUCAACCAUGGGAGUGGGCUGGAUACUGGCAUUCUAGACAACUGGAGAGGCGAUUGGAAUUACUGGUGUAGCGGUGGAAUGCGUAGAUACCAGUAGGAACGUCAAUGGCGAAGGCAGGUCGCUGGACAGUUUGUGACGCUGAGGCGCGAAAGUGUGGGGAGCAACCGG